ensembl:lncRNA
UUUCUUUCUCUUUCUUUCUCUUUCUUUCUCUUUCUUUCUUUCUUUCUUUCUUUCUUUCUUUCUUUCUUUCUUUCUUUCUUUCUUUCUUUCUUUCUUUCUUUUCCUCCUUUUCCUUGCAUGAUUGGAGAGAGACAAUUUGAGGAAUAUAUUCUACAUAGUGAUGUGAUUCAGCAACUUUCUGGCAAACUUAAAUGCAGCCCUUUUUCUCAGCGCACUACCGAAACACAACUGGCAACAAUUUCCUUCAUGCUGAGCUUAACCGAAAGCAGGCAAUGUAUCACAUAACCUGAAGCUCAGAGGUCUCAGGUCACAAUGUCAUUUCUCAUGUUCUUUUAUAUGACUACGAGCUGCUCAAACCCAGCCAGUGACAACAACUGUGUUACUGCAGGAGCUGCUGUGUUACUCAGGGUGGCUCAGCAAAUACAUUUUCCCUUUAAUCUAAAUUCUAGGUAGCUUUUGCCCAUACCAACACACAAGGCCGUUGCUUCUCAGGAUCCCAAGGGCAUACCCAUAGAAAGGUUGUUCUGCAGUUCCACCAGAGCACAGCCCCUGUCGUGGGGUUGCCCUCAUCAGAACUUUGUUGGCAUAAGGGCACAGGGGUGAAUGAGGCUUUGUAACUCCACAGUAGAAACAUGAUAUAGUUUUGUGUAUUUGGUAUUCUCUACCCAAAUGUGGAAAAUCAGAUCAGGAUCAAAAACUACUCUCCUUAAAGGAACAAAUUCCCACUCUCUGCCCCAGUGACAUGAAAAGUAGUAAAAAGAGCUGAGGGAACUGCUGUGCUAGACCAGGUAAAUAAAAACUCUCCCAAUAAAGAUGUCUGUCCAUAGGAUAAAGGAGUUCAAUCUCCAGGCAGGCAGUGUGGUAGCGAUCCCCAGUAAGCAAUGAGUGCCUGCAUUGGGCUGUGCUGCGUCCCCUACUAGAGGGCACAUGCAGGAGUGGUGGGCAGCACACGGUCCUGCUUACCACCAUGACCCCUCCUGCCCUGAGCUGCCAGACAGCCGCAGUAGCAGCUCUGCAGCACCCACAGCUCAUGUGCAGUGCGUCCCGUGAUCAGCCCAAAGAGGAAAAGUGCUGUGCAAGCGUCAGCCGCUGUUGUUCCUGGCAGCACUGCAUGGGGAUGCUUGCAGGCAGUGCCUGUGGGGCUGGCUAACCACUAACCAGCGCGGAGCCUCUGCGCUUAGAGGCACCGAGCACUAUUCACCACACAUAUUCCCAUUUGCAAAAUAAAAAGUGAUUCUGACAACAAAGUCUUCCAGUGACUAAGCGACCAGCGCGCCGCUGGUACCAAGUAGUUGGCACCAUUUCUAUCAUAAACACUGCUAUCAGGUCAUUGUAACUCAGCUGUAAAAACUUGCUCCAGGCUGAUAUUUGGCAAACAAGACCCUGCAAGAUAAUCCUUUUUUAAACACAUUAUCCUAUCUGAGUAAUCUACAGACAUGGGAAUGGAAGAGGUCUGCAGAUGCAAUCCUCACGGACAUCUCUGUUGAUCUUCUCUGCUGAUGUGGAGAAGGGCACCCAGGGAUGGGAGCACCUGGCCAUCUCAGAGGGAAUCCCAGAGUCCCACAGACAUACCUCCUCCCACCUGGAGCCACCAGCUUUCCCACAGAAGUGAAGGGUAAGUAUCAGCUAUUUCCCUAUCAGAAGAAAUGUCUCUCGUUCUUCAAAACAGCUCUUUGGUCAUAACAUCACAAUGCUGCGCUGGCUGCCACAGUCCUCUUCUAUUUCAAAAGGUUUCCUGUGGACUGUACCACAUCUGAAAAAUGCUUUGGUUGAAAAAAUGCCAUCCAUCAGCCUUUCCAAAGAUCUGCACAGAAUAUCCUCAGGACAAUAAAAAUGGUUAAAUGCAACAGGGCUGGAAAACUCAGCACUAAACAAAUUGUAACGAUUAUUUAUGUACCUAUGCUCGGGUUUUAUAGUUAGGAAUGCUCCUUUCAUUGAUUUCAUUAUUAAAAGUCUGUUUCAGCUAAGGGUUUUUUUUAAUGCUGAAUCUCAUUUCCAAACGCCCUCAGGGAGCAACAGCCACAACAAUAAAAUUAGGAACCAAUUACUGAAGAUAAAAUUAGAAUACCUAAGCCCAGCACUAUACUGGGAAAAUGCAGUGUUAAAAUGUAUGAGGUAAAAUGUUUUCUAACUAUCUCAGUGUUAAACCUCAUUUUGUCCUUGGAAUGGGCAAGGGCAGAAAUUUGUGACAAAUUACCAUGUUAUUAAACACAACUGUUUUCUGCAAAAUUAGUGCUGGCUUUUUUUUCCCUCAGUAUUGCUAAGGCCAAAGAGGCUUAAUAAGAUUUUAAAUUAAUUUUUAAUUAAGAAGACUUUUUUUUUUUCUAAUGCUUUUAAACAUUGCUUCCUCUAGGAUCAGGAUGCAGAGAGAUACUGAGAAUAUAGAUGGUACGAAUGGUUUACCUUUCCAUCCUGUUCACACAGUAGAUCUGGAGGAUCUGCAAAAGCAAUUCUUUGGCACAAGUGGAGAAGACACCACAACCACAACUACUACCUCAGUGGCGAAAGCAGCAGUAGGUGCCCACGAUCCACCUACCUACACUAUGGCAACCAGUCAGAUACUUGGUGGUAAAAUCACCUUAUGUGGGUAGGAUUGGCAUUUCAGACCAUAGAUACCACUAUGGAUUGGAGUUGGGCUUCAGCUACCACUCCUGAACAAGCACCUUCAUGAGACAGAUGUUCUCAUGAAGCACACGUUCAGGCUGAGCAAGGCUAGAGAAUGGCAAUUCCUCUUCACGGUCAUGUUGAAAAGUGCACAGCCUUUUCCUGCAGAAAAAAAAAGAAAAAAGAAAAAAGAAGAAGAAAAAAAGAAACUUCAUGUUUCCAAAACCAGAACUGUGUUAUAAUAUCCCAACUGGCAUAGCGGGGGGGAGAGUUGUUCCAGCACUCUCCUCUCACAUCAGGUAACUCCCCCAUUCCUCCUCAUCUUUCAGCCUCAAACACAUGGCUGUUAUGCACUCCUCAACAAAAUACUGUCAGAUGCAUUCACCAAACAUUCUGACGCCGAUGAAAAAAGAAUCAUUCAAUCGAAAAAAAAAAAAAACAAAAAACAUUUUAAAAAAAAAAAAAAAAAAAAAAACCACAACCUAGGAGUAUAGGUUAAAAUACUGAAGACUUUCUGCAUGGAUGAAUUUGACAUUUUUUCCUGGAACAACACUUCUUUAUCGUAUAGUGAUUAACUAGGAAAAAUAACCUUUAGCUAGCACAAUUCUAUGCAUUCCUGCACCAUUUCCAGUCUCCUUGUGAAAAUCGGGGGCAAAAAGCUAGGAAAGUUAAACCAGUUUCCCUAAGCAAUGCAAGUUCUCUCUUGGCCUACAGCCACUAAAAUAAAAGGCAACCCAUUACAACCAGCGUUAGUCAACUGCAGAACAACUUUUAAUGCUGCAAGAGUCAUCUAAGG